GGAUGAGUUGCGAACGGGUGAGUAACGCGUAGGUAACCUGCCUGGUAGCGGGGGAUAACUAUUGGAAACGAUAGCUAAUACCGCAUAACAGUAGAUAUUGCAUGAUAUCUGCUUGAAAGGGGCAAUUGCUCCACUACCAGAUGGACCUGCGUUGUAUUAGCUAGUUGGUGAGGUAACGGCUCACCAAGGCGACGAUACAUAGCCGACCUGAGAGGGUGAUCGGCCACACUGGGACUGAGACACGGCCCAGACUCCUACGGGAGGCAGCAGUAGGGAAUCUUCGGCAAUGGGGGGAACCCUGACCGAGCAACGCCGCGUGAGUGAAGAAGGUUUUCGGAUCGUAAAGCUCUGUUGUAAGAGAAGAACGAGUGUGAGAGUGGAAAGUUCACACUGUGACGGUAUCUUACCAGAAAGGGACGGCUAACUACGUGCCAGCAGCCGCGGUAAUACGUAGGUUCCGAGCGUUAUCCGGAUUUAUUGGGCGUAAAGCGAGCGCAGGCGGUUAGAUAAGUCUGAAGUUAAAGGCUGUGGCUUAACCAUAGUACGCUUUGGAAACUGUUUAACUUGAGUGCAAGAGGGGAGAGUGGAAUUCCAUGUGUAGCGGUGAAAUGCGUAGAUAUAUGGAGGAACACCGGUGGCGA
rnacentral:rRNA from 1 species